CAUUUGAAUACAGCUAUUAUAAAAGGGAGGCAAAUGUCCACGCCUGCUGUGGGGGUGGGCUCACGUGCAUCUUCUCUGCGUUGGGGUCAGCCAGGGAGCGUGUGCAGAGCACCUGCAUUGUAGACUAGCCGUGGAGAAGGAUGUCCCAGGUGCAGGCCAAGUUUCAUUGUGUUCAUGGAGGAUUUUUCCUGUGGCAAAGGCUUCUCCAUCUUCCAACAUCUCAGGCCUGGUGAGUCUGGAUGUGACCGCUUCCUGUGGGAGCCCAAGGCGCACCUGCGUCAGGAAGCGAGACCCGCACUGGGCAGAGACCACCAGCAUCUGA
rnacentral:lncRNA from 10 species